GAUGUCGAUUUGGAGGGCUGUGUCCUUGAGACGUGGCUCUCCGGGAGCUAACGCGUUAAAUCGACCGCCUGGGGGAGUACGGCCGCAAAGGUUAAAAACUCAAAUGAAAUUGACGGGGGCCCGCACAAGCGGUGGAGCAUGUGGUUUAAAUUCGAUGCAACGCGAAGAACCUUACCUGGCCUUGACAUGUACUGGAAUCCUGCAGAGAUGCGGGAGUGCCUUCGGGAAUCAGAACACAGGUGCUGCAUGGCUGUCGUCAGCUCGUGUCGUGAGAUGUUGGGUUAAGUCCCGCAACGAGCGCAACC
rnacentral:rRNA from 1 species